rnacentral:rRNA from 1 species
AAAUUGAAGAGUUUGAUCAUGGCUCAGAUUGAACGCUGGCGGCAGGCCUAACACAUGCAAGUCGAGCGGUAGCACAGAGAGCUUGCUCUCGGGUGACGAGCGGCGGACGGGUGAGUAAUGUCUGGGAAACUGCCUGAUGGAGGGGGAUAACUACUGGAAACGGUAGCUAAUACCGCAUAAUGUCGCAAGACCAAAGUGGGGGACCUUCGGGCCUCAUGCCAUCAGAUGUGCCCAGAUGGGAUUAGCUAGUAGGUGGGGUAACGGCUCACCUAGGCGACGAUCCCUAGCUGGUCUGAGAGGAUGACCAGCCACACUGGAACUGAGACACGGUCCAGACUCCUACGGGAGGCAGCAGUGGGGAAUAUUGCACAAUGGGCGCAAGCCUGAUGCAGCCAUGCCGCGUGUGUGAAGAAGGCCUUCGGGUUGUAAAGCACUUUCAGCGGGGAGGAAGGCGUUAAGGUUAAUAACCUUGGCGAUUGACGUUACCCGCAGAAGAAGCACCGGCUAACUCCGUGCCAGCAGCCGCGGUAAUACGGAGGGUGCAAGCGUUAAUCGGAAUUACUGGGCGUAAAGCGCACGCAGGCGGUCUGUCAAGUCGGAUGUGAAAUCCCCGGGCUCAACCUGGGAACUGCAUUCGAAACUGGCAGGCUAGAGUCUUGUAGAGGGGGGUAGAAUUCCAGGUGUAGCGGUGAAAUGCGUAGAGAUCUGGAGGAAUACCGGUGGCGAAGGCGGCCCCCUGGACAAAGACUGACGCUCAGGUGCGAAAGCGUGGGGAGCAAACAGGAUUAGAUACCCUGGUAGUCCACGCCGUAAACGAUGUCGAUUUGGAGGUUGUGCCCUUGAGGCGUGGCUUCCGGAGCUAACGCGUUAAAUCGACCGCCUGGGGAGUACGGCCGCAAGGUUAAAACUCAAAUGAAUUGACGGGGGCCCGCACAAGCGGUGGAGCAUGUGGUUUAAUUCGAUGCAACGCGAAGAACCUUACCUGGUCUUGACAUCCACAGAACUUUCCAGAGAUGGAUUGGUGCCUUCGGGAACUGUGAGACAGGUGCUGCAUGGCUGUCGUCAGCUCGUGUUGUGAAAUGUUGGGUUAAGUCCCGCAACGAGCGCAACCCUUAUCCUUUGUUGCCAGCGGUUAGGCCGGAACUCAAAGGAGACUGCCAGUGAUAAACUGAGGAAGGUGGGGAUGACGUCAAGUCAUCAUGGCCCUUACGACCAGGGCUACACACGUGCUACAAUGGCAUAUACAAAGAGAAGCGACCUCGCGAGAGCAAGCGGACCUCAUAAAGUAUGUCGUAGUCCGGAUUGGAGUCUGCAACUCGACUCCAUGAAGUCGGAAUCGCUAGUAAUCGUAGAUCAGAAUGCUACGGUGAAUACGUUCCCGGGCCUUGUACACACCGCCCGUCACACCAUGGGAGUGGGUUGCAAAAGAAGUAGGUAGCUUAACCUUCGGGAGGGCGCUUACCACUUUGUGAUUCAUGACUGGGGUGAAGUCGUAACAAGGUAACCGUAGGGGAACCUGCGGUUGGAUCACCUCCUUA